UGGUGUUACAGCGGGAGGCUAUGGAACCUUUAGAAGCUGGAGCUUAGCCUGGUCCCUGGUUCCAGCACUCUGUGGCUACCUGCUCUGCAUAGCCCCACAGACGGCAUCACCACACAUCCCAGCCGUUACCAUGAGCUGAGUUGCAAUGCCGUGUUUCCUAUGUUAGCUACAGCACCUGCAAACCCUCGGAGGCCAUGAGCUGCAAGCCACCUGUCCUCACUGAAGCUGUUCCCAUGGGAUGCUUUGUCACAGCAGUCAAAGGAGUCCAGCCAGCACUGUUCUUAGCCAUGGAUACAAACUGUGGAGGCAUUUCCUGUUCCAGGUGGUUUGGAGCAGAAAGCCAGCCAGCGUGGGCUGAAGGAAACUGUGAGCAGGCUUGUCUUCUACCACACGGAUCCUCCGAGCCCCGGCCGGAAUGACAGCAGCUUCGAUAUAACCUGUGGUGACAAGAUGACAUACAGCUGAAGCACACCUCAGUCCUGGAUCAGAGGCCCCUCCAGACGCCUCCAUCUAAACUACCCAACCACGCCCCCCUGUGGUGGGCUCAGAGACUGCAGGCUGACACAGGCUGAGAGCGCAAACACCAACUCACACGGAGUUCUUUCUUCUAAGUCUACAAUUUCUUGGCCAUUCAGUUUCUGGAACACUCCACUGGUAUGCAGUCUAUGUUGAGGUGCAAUUCCCUCUCUAGAAGAUGUAUUUUUAAAUCCCAGAACCCAGUCACUCUAGAGGGCAAUGACUACAAUCAGGACGGAGUCCGACCCUGCAGAGCUAUGUAGGUGUCUGUGUGUGCUAGAGUGUGCUGUCAUUUGGAAAUAGGAGAGUUGCCCAUGUAUUUAGCUAAUAUGACGUCCUAUUGGAGUCAGGAGGGCCUUAAUCCAAUAUGACAUGAUACCUUUUUAUUAAAAUUAAAUUUACUUAUUUGUU